UUCUGACCUGUGUAAAAAGCUCUACACAACAGCUGGUAGAAAACAAUCCAUGUGAAAAAAUAAAACUUCACACUUAGAGAUCUAAAGAAGCUCUUUAAUAUGAAUUGGAUCAGGCUCUGGCUGAUGCCCAAGAAAGAUCAGUCAUGAAAGAAAACGUUGUAACAUAUAUUAAGGUUGAGCAGAUGUUGUUCAUAUCUCCCCAAAGGAAUACAAUUUCACAGCACACCAGCGGAGAUAGAGAACCCUGGUACCUAAUUUACCCCGCCUCUCCUGUCUUCAAGGCCUCUUUCCACCUAUUCUCCUCCAAAAGCUCAGCAGGUGCUGUAUUGAUGGGACUUCGGAGUGUCUUCUCAAGGUAUGGAUGACAAUUACGUGGGGUGCUAUGACAACAGAGAGGAAAGAGAGAUGGAGUGACAAGAGGAAUGCUGUUCCCAUGUGGCUUUGACGUGAGUUCUGGGAGCUGAAAUUCACACUGAAUGCUUUCCCACAAAGCCAUCUCCACAGCUUGGCAAGAACAGUUUUCUGAUGUGAGUAGCUAAUGUUGACUUUCUUGAUCAAUUUCAAGGAAAAUAAACAGCACUAAUAUUCCAAUUCAUCAAACAGCAUUUUCUAUGAUAUUGACAGAAGUAGACAAGCACAUGUGUAGAAUAACAAAAUGAGGAUGAACCA